UACGAAGGGGGCUAGCGUUGUUCGGAAUUACUGGGCGUAAAGCGCGCGCAGGCGGUUUUCCAAGUCAGUGGUGAAAGCCCGGAGCUCAACUCCGGAAAUGCCAUUGAAACUGUAAAACUUGAGGACGAGAGAGGUGAGUGGAAUUCCCAGUGUAGAGGUGAAAUUCGUAGAUAUUGGGAAGAACACCGGUGGCGAAGGCGGCUCACUGGCUCGUUUUCUGACGCUCAGGCGCGAUAGCGUGGGGAUCAAACAGG
rnacentral:rRNA from 1 species